AGAGUUUGAUCAUGGCUCAGAUUGAACGCUGGCGGCAGGCCUAACACAUGCAAGUCGAACGGUAGCACAGAGAGCUUGCUCUCGGGUGACGAGUGGCGGACGGGUGAGUAAUGUCUGGGAAACUGCCUGAUGGAGGGGGAUAACUACUGGAAACGGUGGCUAAUACCGCAUAACGUCGCAAGACCAAAGAGGGGGACCUUCGGGCCUCUUGCCAUCAGAUGUGCCCAGAUGGGAUUAGCUUGUUGGUGAGGUAACGGCUCACCAAGGCGACGAUCCCUAGCUGGUCUGAGAGGAUGACCAGCCACACUGGAACUGAGACACGGUCCAGACUCCUACGGGAGGCAGCAGUGGGGAAUAUUGCACAAUGGGCGCAAGCCUGAUGCAGCCAUGCCGCGUGUAUGAAGAAGGCCUUCGGGUUGUAAAGUACUUUCAGCGGGGAGGAAGGUGUUGUGGUUAAUAACCGCAGCAAUUGACGUUACCCGCAGAAGAAGCACCGGCUAACUCCGUGCCAGCAGCCGCGGUAAUACGGAGGGUGCAAGCGUUAAUCGGAAUUACUGGGCGUAAAGCGCACGCAGGCGGUCUGUCAAGUCGGAUGUGAAAUCCCCGGGCUCAACCUGGGAACUGCAUUCGAAACUGGCAGGCUUGAGUCUUGUAGAGGGGGGUAGAAUUCCAGGUGUAGCGGUGAAAUGCGUAGAGAUCUGGAGGAAUACCGGUGGCGAAGGCGGCCCCCUGGACAAAGACUGACGCUCAGGUGCGAAAGCGUGGGGAGCAAACAGGAUUAGAUACCCUGGUAGUCCACGCCGUAAACGAUGUCUACUUGGAGGUUGUGCCCUUGAGGCGUGGCUUCCGGAGCUAACGCGUUAAGUAGACCGCCUGGGGAGUACGGCCGCAAGGUUAAAACUCAAAUGAAUUGACGGGGGCCCGCACAAGCGGUGGAGCAUGUGGUUUAAUUCGAUGCAACGCGAAGAACCUUACCUGGUCUUGACAUCCACAGAAGAAUCCAGAGAUGGAUUUGUGCCUUCGGGAACUGUGAGACAGGUGCUGCAUGGCUGUCGUCAGCUCGUGUUGUGAAAUGUUGGGUUAAGUCCCGCAACGAGCGCAACCCUUAUCCUUUGUUGCCAGCGGUCCGGCCGGGAACUCAAAGGAGACUGCCAGUGAUAAACUGGAGGAAGGUGGGGAUGACGUCAAGUCAUCAUGGCCCUUACGACCAGGGCUACACACGUGCUACAAUGGCGCAUACAAAGAGAAGCGACCUCGCGAGAGCAAGCGGACCUCAUAAAGUGCGUCGUAGUCCGGAUUGGAGUCUGCAACUCGACUCCAUGAAGUCGGAAUCGCUAGUAAUCGUGGAUCAGAAUGCCACGGUGAAUACGUUCCCGGGCCUUGUACACACCGCCCGUCACACCAUGGGAGUGGGUUGCAAAAGAAGUAGGUAGCUUAACCUUCGGGAGGGCGCUUACCACUUUGUGAUUCAUGACUGGGGUGAAGUCGUAACAAGGUAACCGUAGGGGAACCUGCGGUUG
rnacentral:rRNA from 1 species